GCUUCAGGAAGUGGGGUGACAGGAAGAAAUAUAUAAAUGUGACUUGGACUAUAUUUGAGUCUCAGCUUCACUAACGUCUACUAUUAUGUUUUUAUUGCAUGUGUGUGUGUGUGUGUGUGUGUGUGUGUGUGUGUGUGUGUACCCUAUCUUGAGACAGAGUCUCUCACUGGACUGGAAGCUGGUUGUUUGGCUAAGCUGGCUGCCUGCUCCUAAUCCCCAGCACCGAGGUUACAGGCAUACAUGGCCACGCUUGGCUUUCAUGUGAGUGCUGCGGAUUUGAAUUUAGUUCAUCUUGCUUCCACACUGCUUCAGUUGGCUGCUCUUGUCAUGCUCCUAGUUCCUGGGGGACAAACAAGGCUUACAGGUAAACAUGGGUAUGGUGAUGUGAACAAGUAGUGACUUGUGGUCCUGAGGAAACGGUCUAGCCAGAGUAGUGAGCAGUGUUUCCAAGCUAUGCAUAAGCACAUCGAUGAGUUAUGAGGAUUUCAUCUCAAGGGCAGAUGGGAUGCUGGGUUAGGACUCAGCUUAGGGAGGACGCAGACUGAAGAGUCAGGAUUCUGUAGUUCUGCAGUGGGAUGGGUGACAGUGAGGGCUUUCCAAUAGGGUUUUAGGCGGAGCCUAGGGGGUUUUAAUCGAGAUGCCUAUAAGGCCAGGCUGAUCAUGAAGGCAUAACCAGGAUGGGCCUAUGAAAUGGAUUCUAAAGUUGUAGUCAUUUUAAACAAACACUAACUAUGUAUGAAGGCUUCACACUCACAAAGUAUGUGCUAAAACAAACUCCUUUGGUUUAUCUUUGGUUUCCCUGUUUUGAUGGAUUCAGGAAACCAUAGAACUACUUCUUGGCUAUAUGGAAACCUAGGGCCAGCAUGACAAUAGAUGACAACAUGGAGAAGGCUGGGGACCAAGGUAAGCUAUGUCGCACCCAGUGAAUAGACCCGUUGUCAUGGGAAAUUACUGCCACAUAAGAAUACAGGUCUAGUAAUGUUAGUUAGAUAUAACAGCUUUUCAAAAGCUAGGAAUCUAAAGUUUUAAAAGUAGGAAUUCUAAACAGUUAAAUAUUGUUUUAAUGUUUUUAGGACACAAUGGAACCAAAGGAAAUAUACUGGAGUGCCUCUCGGGCCUUCAGGUUAUAAUCUUUGUUCUAGAUCAUUGAGUAAAAUGAAGACAGAAGAGCUUGAAAGGUGCAUGUUUCUGCUUCCUGCCUUGUCUGCAACAUGGGGACACCCAUCUGUCCCAGGCAAGCAGGCAUUGCUUGAAUAAGAAAUAUCCCAUCUAAGCCCAUGGCCUCUCUGGUCCUGACUUUUUUCCAGCCACAUGUACUAUAGGUGACUAUCACAGUGGUAUCUCCACUUCAGGGUUUUCUUGGAUUUGGUUCCCACAGUUAGCUGCUGAAAAACCUCCUCUUGGACGUGUAAAGGAAGUGUGGGACUACCUGGCCCACAUCAGCACCUAUCUCAGCUUCUUUCUCUAGUCCUUGUUUCCCUAAUUCCCUAAGUUCAUAAUUGCCCUUAUGUUCUGGAAAGAAUUUAGGAUUUCUCUCGCCUCAGCCAGCCUAUAAGCAAGUCCUGUUAAUGCUGUGUUCAAAGUAGAUCCGAAGCCUGACCCUUUCUGUCAUCUUCUCGUCUACCAACACCUAGCUGGACCAUGUCACAACCUUGGAAUAGGUCUCUCUUCUCUUUUUGACCCUUUGCAGUAACUUCUCCACAAAUUAAUUGGCAGGUUUGAAAAUAAGUACCUAAAAGCCAGAUUGUACCAUUUUUCUCUUUAAAGGCUUUAAGUCAUCCCCAAAUUCAAACCUACUAUUAUUGUAACUCUCAAAUCUUCAUGUCUUUACAGGCCCCUUCCUCACCCUUCAGGCUACUGCUUGUACCUUGUCUUCUCAGAGGCCUCUGUGGCAAGCACAUCUCUAAAUUGGUUCUUCUUCCUAUCCUUUGUCCAUUAUGACCCCUGAACUCUGUCCCCAACUUUACUCUUCUUUUUCCCUUAGCAGCCAUUCUACCUGAAGUAUCAACUAUUGUCUGUUUCCUUCCUUGUACCAUGAGGUAAUGAUAAAAGGCUAUUCUCUUCCCAUUUGGCGGUGUAUUUUUAAUAGCCUAGCACUGUAGUUGGUGAAUGGUAGAUGCUCAGUAAGUGUCUGUUAGGAUAGACAAUAAGACACAGAUCCAUGUGAAAGCUCUGUGUAGUCAAAGCCAAGUCAUUCACUGUGAAGGCUACUCACUGAUUGAGGAAGGCAAAGAGGUAUCUCAUGAUAAUCAGAGUGGGCUUGGGCAGGACCAGAAGGACUUUCCGGAUAUGCACAGCUCUCUCUUGCAGGUUGUCCAUUGCUGAAAGAAGAAGGCAUGUUAUCCUCUGCAUGACUGCAGUCACCAGCAGCAUAACUCAGAGCGAGCAAAGCUGGCCCACACAUAGCCCUGGGAUAGUGACAGAGGCUUCCCCCGGGAUGUUCUGUGGGAUGAGACUGUUUCAAAAGAUCACAUGCUGGGACCUACACCCUGACUAGUACAGACUCAAGGUAUAUGUUCCAUAGGCACAGAAAGUUGGAUAUGUUCCCUCUCUAAUUUAAACAACGACAGACAUAGACAAGGCCUUCACACCUCCUGGAUUUUCAGUCUGGCUCAGCAUUUGGACUGAAUACUUACUUGUUCCUCUUUUGGUUGUUUUGAGAAAAACUCCGGGCAUCUAGAAUGCUAGUUCUCUUUUUUUGUUGCUGGUGUUUCUGAGAGUUCUGUGUAGUCAAAGCCAAGUCUUUCACUGCGAAGGCUACUCAUUGAUUAAGCAAGGCAAAGAGGUCUCUCAUGAUAAACCUGUCAUGACUGCUGGAUAAUGUCUUAAAGGGUCCCACACAUGAGAAGGGACAGCGGCUGUGGAAGUCCUUUGUUGACCCCUGUGUACACAGUUAUCUAUUCCAACUUUGGAUAAGUCUGGCUUCCUUCUUCCUUAUCUAAAGUAGACAUGAGCAGAGCCUGAGUAGAGUGAGAAGACAGCAGAUGCUGGAAAAAGUAGUAAAAUCUAUGAAGACAACUGGAAAAGAUUCCUGGCUUUUGUGCUAUGGUCAGGUUAGUUACAGAUUUGGCCAUAUGCCUGUGACCUGUCAUGAACAGCCUCUGACUUCGCGGUGUGACAAUAUGAACAUGAUCUGGCAGCCUUUAUGUGAAUAAGAAAUAGCAAAUACUGGAUUAGGAGCAAGAAUAAGGAAGAACUGGGCAUCUGAGGAAUCUGCUGUGCCUUGGCAACUCCAGCCCAAUGUAAGAGACUUCACUUGGGUCCAGUCUUGGAAAGGAAAGACAUGAGAUGUGACCUAAGUAACACGUGUUUGUAACUGUCACGUAACUCCUUCCCAUUAGACUCUCAUAAAUACAUAGACAACAAAGAGAACAAGUAUCCUAGAUGUCUGGGCUUUUCUCAGAACAACUGAAAGAGGAACAAGUAAGUAUUCAGUCCAAAUACUGAGCCAAACUGAAUUCAGGAGGCACAAAGGCCUUGUUCAAACUGGGGAAAGAGCUUCCCUGCAUUUACUCCUUUCACCUUCUGGGGCCACCAUUCAGAUAAGGUCUAUGCACUGGCCAUCUGUAUGUCAACUUGACACUAACUACAGUCAUUUGGGAAGCAGGAACCUCAAUUGAGAACCCCCCCCCCCCACUAGAUUAGCCUGUGGGUAACUUGUGGUGUGUUUUCUUGUUUGAUGUAGGAAGGCCAGCUCAAAGUGGGUGGAUGGUGGACUCAGUUGUAUAAGAAAGCAGGUUGAGCAAACCACAGGGAUCCAGCCAGGAAGCAGCACCCUCCAUGGCCUCUGCAUAGUUCCUACCUCCAGGCUCUGACCCUGUUUGAGUCCUGCUUUGACUUCCUUAGUGAUGGGAUGUAAGAUGAAACAAGCCCCUUCCUCCUCAAGUUGCUUUUGGUUACUGUGUUUUAUCACAGCAAUAAAACCCCAAAUAAUAUAAUCUGCUUCUCGAAUGACUUGAUAUUAUUAUAAAUUUCCACGGGUUUCUCAUGGAAUCAAGUGGUAGGAUGCUUCAGGAUCACCAACUAUGCUAAAUGCCUAGGAUGGCUUUUUAAGCUCUACAGAGAACUUUAAAGAAACCAGAGAUUGUUCUCUGGGAAAAUACUAAAUGGUACUUUUAAGUGCAUAGAGGGGCUUUUCUUGUUUUCAGACACAUAUGAAUGUAUGUAUGUAUGUAUGUAUGUAUGUACGUAUGUAUGUAUGUAUACAUGCAUAUGCAUAUGUAGCAGGUAAGCCAAUGUACAUAUAAAACAACAAUCAGGGAGCAUGGUCAGUGUUUAUAGUUUCCUUUGGUCCUAUUAAAAGCUCCAACAUUGUGUAUAAGCUUCAAGUAUCUGACAAGACUGGAUCUUACAGAUGAGUGUACAAGCAUUUUACUAAAAAAGAUAAAACCCAGAGAUAGGAAUUAAUGAUGAGAUAAAUUAGGAGAAAAAAAAAAGCCAGGUGUCUUGACUCGAAUUCUAUACUAUUACUGUUAAAUCAUUCUUUCUCUUCCACUACUAGGGAUAAACAGUAGAGAUAAAGAGGAGAAACUCACUGGAAGAAAUACAUAAAAACAAAAAACUUGAUCUAAAAGCCUAGGAGGAGACAAAUGGAUGAAAAUUUCCAAGUAUCUUGCUGCCUGCCAUGCAUGGGAUACUUACUGACACAGGCAAUCAAGUCAUGGAAGAUGUCUUUGGGGAAGAGCGGGUGUUCCAGCCCCCGGAAGUAAAGCUUGAGGACGCCAGCUAUGGAGUCCAUGUCAUGGUCAUUCUGGUCCCCAGCCAGGGGGUCCUCUCCUGAAGAAGGUAGCCCCCAUUCCAAAAGGAAAGAGAGAGAGUUAGGCAAACACACAGGUGAGGUGGAGAUGGUGGAGGGGUGACUCAUUUAUAUCCUCAGUAUCUCUCUAUCCAGCAAAGGCCAAUGGCCGCGAUGUGGCACUGUUGGGUUAAUGAACAUUCCCUGUGGGUUGGGGGACAGAAACCAGAGAUUGUUUUUCUCAUAAGAAUCAUGAAAGGAUUCUUAAAGGAGACUGAGCCCAUGGUGGAGGGGAAACAAGACCAAGAGGCCGGUUUCUCUGACUACCAUAGCAGAGGACACCCACUGACAAAACAGUCAUCCCAGAAUCCCCAUGGAAAAUUUCAUAUCAAGUGUAAUUAAAUUUAAUGAUAACACCAACCCUAAAUUGAAACUAUACAUAUAUCAAUUACAAUGACAGAAAUUGCCAAAGCUUGCCCAUUACCUUAAUAGACCACAAGAUGAUAAAUGGGAUACAAUGAAGAGGCACGUUAGCCUUGCUGUUAGCUGCUACCAAGGGCUCUGGAUAAGGCUCUAAACUGCCUGGAUAUACAGUGAGGACUUGGGGUUUUGGCGGAUCACCAUAGGAAUGAGGCAGGAUGGGUGGGGCUAAGAAAGAAGGAAACCGGGGCAUGCCCCAGUGUCUCUCUGUAUGUCUACUGAAAGUACAGAGAAAACAGGCGGUUUCUUGGCUUUAUAAGCAGAGAACUCAGGGGAAAGGUGGAGCCAGCUCUCGGGGCUGGCGAACAUCUAGUCCCAUCUUUGGCUAUUCCCCGCUCACCUCUCUCAAAGGCGUUCUUUAUGUCGUUCACUUCUACUUGUGACCCAGACACCCGGAAAACCCCCUCAUGUCGUAGGCCUAGAAACACACAAAAUAAAGUGGUCAGAGUGAAAACAGCAAGUUCACAAUCAUAAAUCCCAUACAGAUGGGGUUACAAUUCCCACCUCCACUGGUACUAUGUCUUUGUCUUUUUUAGGACAAAGGAGAAAAAACAGGGAGGGCACAGAUACUAGACAGGUCUCUGGAAGGAUCAUGAGGCAUCAGUUUGUUUUUUUUUUAAGAUGUAUUUAUUUAUUAUAUAUGAGUACACUGUAGCUGCCUUCAGACACACCAGAAGAGGGCAUCGGAUAUGAGGCAUUAGUUUUAAGGGAAGCAUCAGGCCAAAGACUUAAGGGAUGUUCACAGCCUCUUCUGCUUCCAAGGGAGACUACCAGGCUGUGGCCUCCCCACUUUUAGUUUACUGUUCCUGACUAUAGAGUGGGAAAUCACCUCUGGGUGCUUUCUUACUGCCUGCGGUCCAAGAAUGGAGGCAGGUAUUGGCAGGUAGAACACUAUGUACCAUGAGAGGUUAGAGAAAGAUGGGUUGUUAUAACUUCGUUAGCAUUUUAACACUAUUCCCAUUAUUCUAGGAAAAUCUCUGAACUGAUGACAUAAAAACAAAUGUGACCAAUCAGUGGAUGACUUUGUCAAUCUCUGUUCAAGGCACUGGUCCCUGAUGGCUGCCCUUUGUUUUGUUUUUGUUUUGUUUUGUUUUUUUUAAAGAAAACAUGUUAAUACUGCAUUGCAAGGUGCACAAAAAUUAUCUUCUCAUGAUUUUGCUGGAGUGGAGAUAGUCAUGAAAGACAAUGCUUAUAUAAUGAUUGCCAAUAAUGCUAUCCUAGAAAGUAUUUGUCCUCAUAUAACCAUCCAAGGUCAGGGUUAGCAGUAACUCAUGUUCUAGAUGAGGGGCUGGUGACCGAUGACACGGAGAACCGGGACCAGAGCUCAAAGGUAGUCUUGUUGCAAUCACAGACUCAGUUUUUGGUGUCAGACUCAGGGCUUAUUCCAGUGCAUGUACAGAGAGGGUGGGAGGAAGCCAUCUUGGCCUGAUGUACUUAGACAGGUUACAUCGAGCACCACACACCACACACUACACAUUCUCAGUAAGAAAAAUCAGGAAACAAUCACUACUGAUUGGCCUAACUACUAUCUCCAGCUGUAUCAGGACUUUUAGCCUUUCUCUAAGCCUAGAUCUCCUUUGUCAACAUUUCUCUGUGAUAUUCCAAAACCUUGAUAGAAACCUCAGAUUCUAGAAAAGCAAACAAAACAGAAUGAGGCUAUAUUUUGCUGGCUAUUUCAUAAUUGUCCUCUAGGUGAGGGGAGCUGUAUUCAAUUAGUUAGGUCCUGGAGGUAUAACAAGACUGAAAUUGUGGAAUCUGACUGGAAGUAAGUGAAGGAAUGUCAUUGCCCGGCUUCUAGUAAGGUGUAAGCUGUUUGUUCCUCUGAGGCAAUCUCUAAAAUACUCCUCAGAGAACGGCAAGCAACAUUAAAAUCCCAUCAGUGCUAGUGCGGUGGUACUAUAUCAGUUACCAAAUGGGGUAUGAGAGCCAGAAAUUGUUGUUUAAACAUAAAAUGUAUCAUAAAUACUGAGACUCUGACAGAAACGGAAACAUACCCCAGGACUUAACUGGAAACAGAGUACAAGGAAAUGUCACCUCAAACCAGGCUACUUGGUGUGUUUUAGAUGGGAAAGUACUACACAACUUUCUGAGAGGGUCAGUUCAGUGCUCUUGGGUACGUCUGAUGGCUAAGGUCAUGUAGCCUUGGCCUGUGGGACCAAGGGAAGAACAAAUGAGAGAUGAACUUGCUGGAAAUCAGACAACUGGCCUAAAAUACUGAGCUCUCCUUCAGUCUAGUUUCCAGUUCCCCUAGAGAAUAGAUUCUCUAGACUAGGGCCACUUACUAUUAGGACCAAUUAUUAUUAUUAUUAUUAUUAUUAUUAUUGUUGUUGUUGUUGUUGUUGUUAUUAUUAUUGUUGUUGUUGUUUUAUGUGUGUCUGUGUGUCUAUGCAUGUCUCUGUGUGCGUAUGCAUACACGCAUGUGCACACUUGUGUGUGUAUGCUAUGGCACAUGUGGAAAUCCAUGUUCUGAGGAUUGAACUCGUAUUAUCAGGCUUGUGAGGCAAGCACUUUUACCCACUGAGCCAUCUCACUGGCACACCAGACAGAAUCUUUUGAGUAAGUGAUAUAAUAAUUCUGAGAGGAGAAACAAGUUUUCUAGAAAGGAAAAACCAGUUGACAUUUUGGUAUAAUGUAUAACCAAAAUAAUAUAUCUAUAAUCUUUAGUCUUUGUUUUUCUUAGCACACGCGAACAUGAAAGCAUAAAGUGCUCUUGGAUUAGUGUAAACUAUUUGAAAAUGCUGUAAAGCACUGGCCUGUGGCUUCACCUCUGGUCAACCGCCCUUCACCCUUCCUGCUUCAGCCUGUGUUCUUUCUUCCGUCUGUCAACAGGUCCUGCACUUUGUGCUCUUUCACCACAAAAUACUCUUCCUCAGACGGACACAUCGCUUACCUCUUCCUCACAAGUCCACCAAAGUGUGGACUUUUCAUGACCCAUUAAACAGUGCCUCUCUCCACUCCCAUCCUACACUCUGUUUCUCUUUUCUUUGUAACAUACACCAGCACUGGAAAUACUGCAAGUCAGUGUGUUUGCUAGCUAAUCGUGCUUGUUCCUCAGUGGAACAGAAGUUCCAGCAGGAGCCUUUUCACUGGUCGUUAAUAAGCAACCAAUAUGGACUCUGUGUUGAAGGAACAGAUGAAUGCAUGGGUGAAUGAAAGAACCCACUUCUUCCCACUGUUCGUUAGGAACCUCUUCUACUGAACUCAGCUUGAAUUUGUCUUUGCCAGCUCCGUGGUAUUAAUUACUGCUAUCUUGUAAAGUUUCUUAUUCUGCCACUAUCAAUUACUAUUGCUUUAUUUCUUUCAUUAACUUAGUAUCUGCUCACUUAUUUUCUUCCAAACACAUCAUAAAAAUCACUUAAAGACAAGAUUAGUAAAUCAUUUCUCUGUAUGUUUUCUUUUUUGGCAAUACAUGAUGCUCAGUCCUGGUCAGGGGCUCAUAACCUCCCUGUUGGUUGUUCAACAGUGAGGAGCCAUGCUCAUACUUCAAGAGAACUGAGGUAACAUUAGAAACUUACAGUUUAUCGAGAUUAGGAUAUGAUGUAAGAAUGCUGAAAUAGGGGCUGGGGAUUUAGCUCAGUGGUAGAGCGCUUACCUAGGAAGCGCAAGGCCCUGGGUUCGGUCCCCAGCUCCGAAAAAAAAAAAAAAAAAAGAACCAAAAAAAAAAAAAAAAAAGAAUGCUGAAAUAAUUAUUAUUUCAACAAUGACUCUAAGAAAUAUCCCAGUUUAUAGGGAGAAGAGGAUGUAGAAUAGAAAGGUGCCUUGGAAUUUAGACAAGCAAUAUCUGGCUUCUUUAGCUCCAGGAUGGCCAUUUUAUGACUUUUUAAAGUAUUUAAAAACUAUUUCUGAUGUGGUUUCUAAACAAUUAAAGUCCAGUAUAGAUAUUCUAAAUAUUCUCACCUUUGGAAAAUAAACUUGCUGGUAAUUAUUAAAUCUGUCUAAUGAGGCCAUUAGCUGGUAAAGAACAGAGUUAAAUCUCUUGGCUUUGCCCAAGCAGAAGGGUAAGUACACCUUGACUAAUGUUGAGAAAGAGCCAGUCCCUGAGGACUCUCAAAAGUCGGAUACAACUUUACAACAGUUAUGGAGCUCAUAGGAACACUAUAUCCAGUGAGGCCAAAUUAAAACAAAAUCCAAAUAUUAUAUACACAAUCAAUGCAACAUUAGAGAUGAAAUUGUUUCAAACCAUCCCAGCACAGCUAAUGGGACAAAAUGGUUAGGCUAUGCCAUGGAAGGUACCUACAUACACCAAGACUAUAACUACAGGUCCAUUACCACCACAACCACAUGGUCUAACUGCACUUCUUCACAAGACUGCUGGGAUUUAAAACUCUGGAGCUACAGAAGAGCAUGGUAAGUGGCUAGGUCAAAAUAGGUAGACACGGUCUUUCUGAGGGAGUCAGCAGUACAUGAAUGAGUUAAGACUUAUUCCUUUUCUCAGAAUGUGAGGAUGGGAAGGCACUCUCUCUUCUCUCUCUGGUGUAUAUGCAUAUAAUGUAUACAUGUGCUUGUGUGUAGCUAUGGAGGGCAGAGGACAGUGUUGGUUGUUCUCUAUUCUAAUACUCUCUGCCUUUGACACACUCCUUUGAGGCAGUGACUUUCCCCUGAACCUAGAUCUUAUAGGAUUCUUUUUAGGGGUAGGGUGGCAGUCCUCAAGCCCCAGAGACCCUGUCUCUGCCUUCCACAGAACUAGAGUUACAGCUGUGCAUAAGAUGCGGCUCUUCUUGUUAUGGCAGUUUGGGAAUUUGAAUUGAGGUCCUCUUGGCUGUGCAGCAAGCGAUCUUAACCACUGAAGCAUCUCUCCAGCUCCAACUACUGCUAUUGUUUUGUAAAGGAGUCUUUGAAGUUCUAACUUUUUGCACAAAGGUAUGAGCGAAGCUGUAUUUCUGCUUACCAUGUCUGCUAAUAAACCGGAUGCAGCUUUCUACCACCAGAGGAAUUGCCUGGCUGGAGUCCUGAAAAACAAAACAGGAAUACAGAAAUCAAAAACCAAAAAUAGAAGAAGUGAGUCUGGUCUCAAAAUGGAGAUAACACCGCUGUCUGGUCACCCCCAGCCUGACUCUUCAUUGAUACUGAUUGGGGAGGGGAGAAGGAAGGCCAUGAUCUGAAGGAACCAGAGCACUCGAGGAAGCUGUUUGAAAAUACAGAUGACAUUUAAGAGAAUACUCUGAGAAAUGAGGAUCACUUACAGACAGUAUAGUAGUGAGAGACACCCCAAACAAAAUAUUCCAGGGGCUUUGCUUCUGUGACCUUAACUCAUGUGUUGAAGAAGUAGAUGCAGCAAUGUGUGCUCGACCUCACAGGCUGAUGGGGUGUGGUAGAACCAGAGAUAACUGUUUCUAGAAAUGAUUCUUUAAAGGCUGGUGCCCGUUAACAGUGAAGAAAGAUUCUAUUAGUGGUAUUAAAGAAGAUACAGAAGACUAUAACUUGAGAGACUACUUUGAAAAGUUUGGCAAGAUCAAAACCAUACAAGUUGUGGAGGAUAAACAAGAAUGGAAAAAGAGGAUUUGCUUUUGUAACUUGCUUUUGUAGUUGGUAAAACUAUUUAGGAAGCCCACAGUUAAUGGUCAUAAAUGUGAGGGAAUUAGGUCUUCUCUAAACAAGACGAGCCAUCUGCUGGGUCACAGAGAGUGGUGGAGGUGAAUCUGGCAACUUUACAGGUCAAGAAGGGAACUUUGGAGGCAGUGGAGGUAAUUUUGGUCAUGGUGAAAAUUUUAGUGGAAGAGGAGGCUACAGUGGCGGUCCUGGUUAUAGUCAUAGAGGAAGACAUGGUGUGGUCUGGUUAUGACUGUAGAGAGGACAUGGUAUGGUCCUGGUUAUGGUCAUAGAGGAAGACAUGGUGUGGUCUGGUUAUGACUGUAGAGAGGACAUGGUGUGGUCCUGGUUAUGGUGGUGGUGGAGGUGAUGAUGAUCAAUAUAAUAAAUUUGGAGGUGAUGGUGGCAACUAUGGUGGCAGUCCUGGUUACAGUAGUUAAGGCACAAUGCUGGUGAAGAACAGGAUAUGGACACCAAGGUGGUAGAUGUGGUGGAGGAGGAUAUGUGUUAAUGAAGGAUAGAAUUUUGUUGGAGGGAGCUAUAAAGAUAUUAGACAUUACAGUGGAUAACAGUGAACAGAUUAUGGGCCCAUGAAGGGAGCAGUACUGCAGAGGAAGUGAAGUGCAGGCUGGCCCUAAGGUGGUGGUUAUGGAUAUGGCUGCAGAAGUGGAAGGAGAAGGUUUUAAAGAUGACCAAAAAGGGCUAUAGUUUUUAGCAGGAGAGAGAGAGAGAGAGAGAGAGAGAGAGAGAGAGAGAGAGAGAGAGAGAGAG